GAUGAAGAACGGUAGCGAAAUGCGAUAAGUAAUGUGAAUUGCAGAAUUCAGUGAACCAUCGAAUCUUUGAACGCACAUUGCGCCCGGCAGUAAUCUGCCGGGCAUGCCUGUCCGAGCGUCAUUUCUCCCCUCGAGCGCAGCUUUCCCCCCCGGGGGAGGGCCGCGCCCGGUGUUGGGGCGCUACGGAGGAGCCCAGCGCUCCCCCGUAGGCCCCGAAAUGUAGUGGCGGUCCCGCCGCGGCGCCCCCUGCGUAGUAGUUUUACAACUCGCAUCGGGUCCCGGCGGAGGCCAGCCGUCAAACCCCCCAACUUCAAUAGUUUGACCUCGGAUCAGGUAGGGUUACCCGCUGAACUUAAGCAUAUCAAUAAGCGGAGGA
rnacentral:misc_RNA from 1 species